AAUAUACUAAAAGUCCCCAUGUAUCCUCUUGGAGCUUUUUCCAUUAUGACAAGGUUUUUUUCGAUUUCCCUAUUACUCCCAUAUUGUUAAAAAACGUGAAAUGUCAAGUUCACUCAUAACAAAAAUGACUCGCAUCACUAGAAAGCUCAUAAAAACUACAUAUAAGACAUUUAAACAGUCACCUAAAUUUUUCAAGCGGUUUCCAGUUAUUGCUGUUUCAAAUGUGACAAAUAGGCCAA